GUGAGCUGACAAAACUAAAACACUUCUGACUGGACUUUCCUCCCUGACACCAUCGAAAUGGGAGCUGUUUGGAUUUUGUGUUGCUUUCUGCUCAUUCUUGGGACAGCCACCGUUGGCAGCAGUGACAAGAGUUUGAAUGAAGUCAAGCAUGAAGAGAAA